CAAGGCGGACGGCUCAGUAACACGUAGUCAACCUAACUCGUGGACGUGGAUAACCUCGGGAAACUGAGAAUAAACCACGAUAGAUCAUAGUGCCUGGAAUGGCUUAUGGUCCAAACAGUUUACUGCCAUGGGAUGGGACUGCGGCCUAUCAGCUUGUUGGUGAGGUAAUGGCCCACCAAGGCGAUUACAGGUACGGGCUCUGAGAGGAGUAGCCCGGAGAUGGGUACUGAGACACGGACCCAGGCCCUAUGGGGCGCAGCAGGCGAGAAACCUUAGCAAUGUGCGAAAGCACGACUGGGUCAGUCCGAGUGAUUCCUGAUAAAGGAGUCUUUUGCCUGUCCUAAAAGCACAGGUGAAUAAGGGGUGGGCAAGUCUGGUGUCAGCCGCCGCGGUAAUACCAGCACCUCGAGUGGUCAGGACGUUUAUUGGGCCUAAAGCAUCCGUAGCCGGCUCUGCAAGUCUUCGGUUAAAUCCACCUGCUCAACAGAUGGGCCGCUGGAGAUACUACANAGCUAGGGAGUGGGAGAGGCANACGGUAUUCAGUGGGUAGGGGUAAAAUCCUCUGAUCCAUUGAGGACCACCAGUGGCGAAGGCGGUCUGCCANAACACGUUCGACGGUGAGGGAUGAAAGCUGGGGGAGCAAACCGGAUUAGAUACCCGGGUAGUCCCAGCUGUAAACGAUGCAAACUCGGUGAUGCAUUGGCUUAUGGCCAAUGCAGUGCCGCAGGGAAGCCGUUAAGUUUGCCGCCUGGGAAGUACGGACGCAAGUCUGAAACUUAAAGGAAUUGGCGGGGGAGCACCACAAGGGGUGAAAGCCUGCGGUUCAAUUGGAUUCAACGCCCGGAA
rnacentral:rRNA from 1 species